UACGAAGGGUGCAAGCGUUACUCGGAAUUACUGGGCGUAAAGCGUGCGUAGGCGGUUAGUUAAGUCUGCUGUGAAAUCCCCGGGCUCAACCUGGGAAUUGCAUUUGUGACUGCCCGGCUAGAGUGUGUCAGAGGGGGGUAGAAUUCCACGUGUAGCAGUGAAAUGCGUAGAGAUGUGGAGGAAUACCGAUGGCGAAGGCAGCCCCCUGGGAUAACACUGACGCUCAUGCACGAAAGCGUGGGGAGCAAACAGG
rnacentral:rRNA from 1 species